GGGCAGGGUGGAGGUGGCGGAGUGGAGGGGAGAUGACCCACCAGGCAGCCGGGCCUGGCUGGAAUGGGGUGCUGCUGAUGAGGCGUCUAAGAAGACCCCGCCUCUGACCUUGGACCGUCCAGGACUCUUCCUUCGCGGACCCCAGCCUUCUACCCCCAUUUCCCCGCCUGGGUCUACAUCCAUCAAAUGCUCUCGACACCCUAUCUCCAAGCAACUUUUCUAGAACUUUUCUGUUCUUCGUCCCCCAACCGUGGCAGCGAGGGCGGGAGCUAGCGGGACACUCGCCCCGUGAAGAUCCAGUGAAGAACAAUUUUGCCUCUCUCGGCGCACCCCCAGCCCCCGACCCUCAGGCCACCAAGUCUCGGAAAACCCUCAGGCAAGGAAAGGCAAGAGGAGGUGGGUGGGGGAGGGGCCCUUGAAGUUCGGAAACAGAUUCCUGGGAGAAUUUCUGGUUCUGAAGACCCAGAAAUGGCCAAUCAGAAACUGCAAAGAAUAGAGCUAAGGCAGAACCCAGGGCCUUGAGCCGGGUAGAGUUCAUGUACAGGUACAAGAUCCCACUUUGGGUCAGCAGACCGCAGGAGGAGGCGACCAAGGAGUUCCCUGGAAUUCUGUGUUAGGCUGGCCGGAUCUGUGAAUGAAAGGGCGCUUCCUUCUGGAGCUGAACUCAGACUCCAUUUGCACUCAGGCUCACAGCCACAGACCAACGACGCAACGGCAAGGAGGCCCUUAUUCAAUCUUCUCUAAUCACGGGCAAUAAGUCGCCGGCGGGAUUUUUUUUUUUUUUUUCCUGCGUCUUAUUGCCUAGGUUACAGAAAAGGUGGGUUUCUGAUUGCAAAACACUUCCAAGCUGAUUCUUGGCUGACUCCUUGCAUCUGGCCUAGGGAGUGUGUGCUGUGAAUGGUGUUGAUUUAGCCACUCCCCUGUCCUUCCAAAUGAAUCUACUUAUCUUGGAGACUACUUAGAUUUGGAGACUAAACCACUCAACUGCAAGAACUGUGCAGCACCUGAUUCAGUGUGGGAAAGAGAAGAUACGCUCAGGGACUACUUAGUGGUGUCUUCUCAGAAGGGCCGUCCCACUGCACUUUUCAGCCAUGACAGUCCCUAUUUCCCAACAGUAGUACUCCUGGAUUUGGGCAGGCUGCUCCCCUCAAGAAGGAAAUCCCCUGCAAUUUCCCAGCACUGUCAUGAAGAAAGAAUGAAAUAAAUGGAGGAGGGAACUAGGAUUCUGCAAGAAUCAAGGUCUUGGGGCUUUUCAUGCUACAUUUUUAUUGUGUCUUUUUAUUAUUAUUAUUAUUACUUUCCCUCUCCCCAUUCAAACCCUCUUCCAUGUUUCCUAGGCCACCUUCAUGUCACUUUGAUGACUCCUCUUUGAUGUUCACUUCCUUUUCACCCACCUCUCACCAAGAAGUAUCUUGGCCACCUGAGGUUUUCACAAAAGAGGCCAUAUUUUUCUCAGAAACUGAGAGAUUUCUCUCUUACCCAUGCAAGGAUACAGAGGCAAGGCAGUUGUCCACAAGCCAAAAAGCAGAGCUUUGUCAGACACCAUGUGUUGGCCCCUGGAUCUGGGACUUCCCAGUCUCCAGAACUGUGAGCGAUACAUUUUUGGUUUAAGCCACCCAGUCUAUGGUACUUUUGUUAUAGCAGUCUGAACUAUGACUAGCAGUUUUAGGUUUAUAGCAAAACUAAGAAAAUACAGAGUUUCUAUGUACCUUCUCUCCUCUCUGCCCACCCACAGCCUCCUUACCAUCAACAUUCUGCACUAGUGAGAUUUGUUACAGUGAAUGAACAAUUAUACAUCAUUAUCAACUAAAGUCCAUAGUUUAUGAUGUGGGAAACAAAGGCAAAUGAAAAAUUAAAUUCCUUUACUGCCUACAGCCCACUGACAAAGCCUUGAAACAGGCAGAGUGACCUUCCUCUGAGGCUCAGCUGCCUCAAUGAUGACACUUUGCUAAGGGCAAAAGGCAGUCGUAGCUUAACACUUUCCCAACCCCUCAGGAUCCUGUAUGUCUACUUUAAUAUAUAAAAAUCCCUUUGGAAGCUUCCUUUAUA